UACGUAGGUGGCAAGCGUUGUCCGGAUUUAUUGGGUUUAAAGGGUGCGUAGGCGGUCUAUUAAGUCAGUGCUGAAAUAUCCCGGCUUAACCGGGAGGGUGGCAUUGAUACUGAUGGACUUGAGUAAAGUUGAGGUAGGCGGAAUUGACGGUGUAGCGGUGAAAUGCGCAGAUAUCAGGAAGAACACCCGUGGCGAAGGCGGUUCUCUGGGACGGUACUGACGCUGAGACGCGAAAGCGUGGGGAGCGAACAGG
rnacentral:rRNA from 1 species